rnacentral:rRNA from 1 species
GAAAGUUACAAAGGGCGCACGGGGGAUGCCUAGGCUCUUAGAGGCGAUGAAGGACGUGAUAAGCUGCGAAAAGCUGCGGGUAGGUGCAAAUGACCAUUGAUCCGCAGAUAUCCGAAUGGGGCAACCUGCCAUGUUGAAGACAUGGUACUACCUACGAUUGGUAGGUAGAGCGAACGUGGGGAACUGAAACAUCUAAGUACCCAUAGGAGAAGAGAACAAAAGUGAUUCCGCGAGUAGUGGCGAGCGAAAGCGGAGAAGCCCAAACCGCAUGGGUUACGGCCGAUGCGGGGUUGUAGGACUGAGUUAUGGACUUGUACAUGCUAUUAGAACUGUCUGGAAAGUCAGACCGAAGAAGGUGAUAGUCCUGUAGAAGAAAGCGUGUAUAAACCUAUCAGUAUCCUGAGUAGGACGGGACCGGAGGAAUCCUGUUUGAAUCUGGCAGCACCAUCUGCCAAGGCUAAAUACUCCUAAGAGACCGAUAGUGAACCAGUACCGUGAGGGAAAGGUGAAAAGUACUCCGAACAGGAGAGUGAAAUAGUACCUGAAACCGUGCGCUUACAAGCGGUCGGAGCCCUUUGGGGUGACGGCGUGCCUUUUGCAUAAUGAGCCUACGAGUUACAUUUUUCCGGCGAGGUUAAGUGCUGUUAAGCAUGAAGCCGCAGCGAAAGCGAGUCUGAAUAGGGCGCAGAGUCGGAGGAAGUAGACGCGAAACUUUGUGAUCUACCCAUGAGCAGGUUGAAGUGUCGGUAACACGAUAUGGAGGACCGAACCGAUAGACGUUGAAAAGUCUCCGGAUGACUUGUGGGUAGGGGUGAAAGGCUAAUCAAACUGAGAGAUAGCUCGUACUCCCCGAAAUGUUUUUAGGAACAGCCUCGGAAGAGAGCGUAUAUUAGAGGUAGAGCUACUGAUAGGAUGCGGGGGUUUCAUCGCCUGCCAAAUCCUGACAAACUCCGAAUGCUAAUAUACAGGUCCGGGAGUGAGGCCAUGGGUGCUAAUGUCCGUGGCCGAGAGGAGAAGAAUCCAGACUAUCGGCUAAGGUCCCCAAAUGUAUGCUAAGUUGAAAAUAACGAGGUUUUAUUGCAUAGACAGCUAGGAUGUUGGCUUGGAAGCAGCCAUACAUUUAAAGAGUGCGUAACAGCUCACUAGUCGAGCGAUAGAGCGUGGAUAAUAAUCGGGCAUCAAGCAUACUACCGAAGCCAUAGACUCUGCGGAGUGGUAGGGGAGCAUUCUUGUUGCGUAGAAGGUGUACUGUAAGGUAUGCUGGAGCGGUAAGAAAAGCAAAUGUAGGCAUAAGUAACGAUAAGGCGGGAGGGAAACCCGCCCACCGAAAGACCAAGGUUUCCUGAUCAACGUUAAUCGGAUCAGGGUUAGUCGGGACCUAAGGCGUAGCCGAGAGGCGAAGUCGAUGGAAAGCCGGUUAAUAUUCCGGCACUUUCUAUAACUGCGAUGUGGUGACAGAGUAGUGAAGCAUAUGCGCACUGACGGAAUAGUGCGUUGAAGGGUGUAGAUAGAUGAUGCGUAGGCAAAUCCGCGUGUUGUGUCGAACCUGACAGUACGACGAUCCUUCGGGAGAGUUGAUAAUGAUGCGAAUCAGACUUUCAAGAAAACCCGCUAAGCUUCAGGUUAUAGAGACUCGUACCGUAAACCGACACAGGUGGUCGAGGAGAGGAUCCAAAGGUGCUCGAGUGAUUCAUGGCUAAGGAACUAGGCAAAAUACCCCUGUAACUUCGGGAUAAAGGGUGCCUCUGAGAAGAGGUCGCAGAGAAAUGGCCCAGGCGACUGUUUAACAAAAACACAAGGCUUUGCGAAAUUGUAAGAUGAAGUAUAAGGCCUGACACCUGCCCGGUGCCGGAAGGUUAAGAGGAGAGGUUAGCCGCAAGGCGAAGCUUUGAAUUGAAGCCCCGGUAAACGGCGGCCGUAACUAUAACGGUCCUAAGGUAGCGAAAUUCCUUGUCGGGUAAGUUCCGACCUGCACGAAUGGUGUAACGAUCUGGGUACUGUCUCAGCCAUGAGCUCGGUGAAAUUGAAGUAACGGUGAAGAUGCCGUUUACCCGUAACGGGACGGAAAGACCCCGUGAACCUUCACUACAACUUAACAUUGAUUUUGGGUACGUGCUGUGUAGGAUAGGUGGGAGACUGAGAGCCGGGUGCGCCAGCAUUCGGGGAGUCGUUGUUGAAAUACCACCCUUUAUUUACUUGAAGUCUAACCUGCGGAAAGUAGGGACAGUGUUUGGUGGGUAGUUUGACUGGGGUGGUCGCCUCCAAAAGCGUAACGGAGGCUUUCAAAGGUACCCUCAGUACGGUUGGUAACCGUGCGAAGAGCGCAAUAGUAUAAGGGUGCUUGACAGUGAGACCCACAAGUCGAUCUGGUAGGAAACUAGGAUAUAGUGAUCCGGUGGUUCCGCAUGGAAGGGCCAUCGCUCAAAG